rnacentral:misc_RNA from 1 species
GCAAGACCUGCAGCACCUCUUUCAUCGUAGGCCUGUCAGAAGGCAGCGCACUGGUACAGAUGAGUCCCAUCCUAAGAACCACCUCAAUCUCGUCCAUGUACAUCGGGUCCUUGAUUUCCUCAUCGAUGAUAUCGGUUACCUUACCACCGUUUUGCAAUUGCCGCCAUGUCCAAUCAGCGAGACAAUCAUCAUCCCUCUCAUCGUUGGCUUCCCUUCCAGUGACUAGCUCAAGAAGUACCACUCCGAAG